CCUUUUGCAAACAUGUACGUUUUGUAAUAUGUAAGAUAUGGUUUUGAACAUCCGCCGAGCAUGUAUAAAUUUUGAUGUGGUUGAACUUAAAGUAUAUAUGAAUAAAAAAAGGGUUUGUGAAAUACUUGGAUUCCAUAUGAUAAUAGUCCUAGUCCGGGAGGAAAUAACUAACGGUUUCAAACUCGGGUUGCAAAGCCUUAACUUGGAAUCGC
rnacentral:lncRNA from 1 species